rnacentral:misc_RNA from 1 species
UACGGAGGGUGCGAGCGUUAAUCGGAAUUACUGGGCGUAAAGCGCGCGUAGGCGGCGUGAUAAGCCGGUUGUGAAAGCCCCGGGCUCAACCGGGGAACGGCAUCCGGAACUGUCAGGCUAGAGUGCAGGAGAGGAAGGUAGAAUUCCCGGUGUAGCGGUGAAAUGCGUCGAGAUCGGGAGGAAUACCAGUGGCGAAGGCUGCCUUCGGGACUGGCACUGACGCGGAGGUGCGAAAGCGUGGGUAGCAAACAGG